UCGAACGGGAAAGUGGGGCAACCCAUGAGUAUAGUGGCGUACGGGUGAGUAACACGUGGAUGAUCUACCUCUUAGUGAGGAAUAACCCUGGGAAACCGGGGCUAAUACCGCAUAAGCACGAGAGUGGAAAGCAGCAAUGCGCUGAGAGAGGAGUCCGCGGCCGAUUAGCUAGUUGGUGAGGUAAGAGCCCACCAAGGCAAAGAUCGGUAGCCGGCCUGAGAGGGCACACGGCCACACUGGCACUGAAACACGGGCCAGACUCCUACGGGAGGCAGCAGUGGGGAAUCUUGCACAAUGGGGGAAACCCUGAUGCAGCGACGCCGCGUGAGCGAUGAAGCCCUUCGGGGUGUAAAGCUCUUUCGGCAGGGAAGAAAAAAGACGGUACCUGCAGAAGCAGCUGCGGCUAACUACGUGCCAGCAGCCGCGGUAAUACGUAGGCAGCAAGCGUUGUUCGGAGUUACUGGGCGUAAAGGGUGUGUAGGCGGUUGCUUAAGUUUGGUGUGAAAUCUCCCGGCUCAACUGGGAGGGUGCGCCGAAUACUGAGUGACUAGAGUGCGGGAGAGGAGAGUGGAAUUCCUGGUGUAGCGGUGAAAUGCGUAGAUAUCAGGAGGAACACCGGUGGUGUAGACGGCUCUCUGGACCGUAACUGACGCUGAGACACGAAAGCGUGGGUAGCAAACAGGAUUAGAUACCCUGGUAGUCCACGCCCUAAACGAUGCAUAUUUGGUGUGGGCAGUUCAUUCUGUCCGUGCCGGAGCUAACGCGUUAAAUAUGCCGCCUGGGGAGUACAGUCNCA
rnacentral:rRNA from 1 species